rnacentral:rRNA from 1 species
GACGAACGCGGCGGCGUGCCUAAUACAUGCAAGUAGAACGCUGAAGGAGGAGCUUGCUUCUCUGGAUGAGUUGCGAACGGGUGAGUAACGCGUAGGUAACCUGCCUGGUAGCGGGGGAUAACUAUUGGAAACGAUAGCUAAUACCGCAUAAGAGUAGAUGUUGCAUGACAUUUGCUUAAAAGGUGCAAUUGCAUCACUACCAGAUGGACCUGCGUUGUAUUAGCUAGUUGGUGAGGUAACGGCUCACCAAGGCGACGAUACAUAGCCGACCUGAGAGGGUGAUCGGCCACACUGGGACUGAGACACGGCCCAGACUCCUACGGGAGGCAGCAGUAGGGAAUCUUCGGCAAUGGACGGAAAGUCUGACCCGAGCAAACGCCCGCGUGAGUGAAAGAAAGGUUUUUCGGGAUUCGUAAAAGCUUCUGGUGUAAAG